rnacentral:rRNA from 1 species
AAUGAACGCUGGCGGCAGGCUUAACACAUGCAAGUCGAGCGAGUGGCGGACGGGUGAGUAAUGCUCGGGAAUCUAGCUUACGGUGGGCGAUAACUACGGGAAACUGUAGCUAUUACUGCGUACCAUAGGAUGAGUCCAAGUGGGUUUAGGUAGUUGGUGGGGUAAAGGCUCACCAAGCCGACGAUCUCUAGCUGGUCUGAGAGGAUGACCAGCCACACUGUGACUGAGACACGGCCCGGACUCCUCCGCUAGGCAGCAGUGGAGAAUAUUGCGCUAUGGAAGCGGCCUGACGCAGCCAUGCCGCGUGAAUGAAAAGAGCCUUCGGGUUGUAGAGUUCUUUCGGUAGCGAGGCGUUAUCUACAGAAGAAGCACCGGCUAACUCCGUGCCAGCAGCCGCGGUAAUUC